UUUUAGCGGGUGGAGGAUUUCGUGAGCCAGUUCUCCAGCUAGCGCUAGGCUAACACGUUUGUUUUGGUUGCAUUUACCCAGAAUGCCCUGCUCUGUAGUCCACUUCCUGCUUUUGGAGCGGUCUCCGGUCCGCUUGGUGUUCACAUAUGCAUUCAAACCGAACCAGAGUUCACCUCAACCAAACCCAGACCGAUUAAGGUCAGAGGUCGAUUAUUAUUCACACCUCACCAACCGAACCGGACUUUUUAAACAAACGGACUGGAGUUGAACUAAAGCGGACUGAACAGGAUUGGUG